GGCCUCCCCUCAGCCUGCCCUGCUCCGGGCUGAGCACACCAGGGCCUGCUCCUCAUGCACCUUGCCCUCCAGAUCCUUCUCCAUCUUUUUAGCCCUCCUUUGGACGCUCCCUAAUAGUUUGAUGUCCCUCUUACAUUGUGGUACCCAAAGUACAACCAGUGCUGGAGGUGAGGCCGCACAGCACAGAGCAGAGGGGACACCCACACCCCUUGCCUAGUGGCCACGCUGGGCCUGGGGCACCCCAGGGCACAGUUGGCUGAUGCACAUUAGCUCCACACUGUUAUUCACUGGCAGAGCUUCACCACCACUAAGUGAGAUACCUGUCUACCCUUCAUCUGUAGCUAUAACCAUCCCUCCGGUGCAGUGUGAGAAGCACACUGGUGCAUGGUGCUGCCCACCCUGCCAGGCUCUGCCCUCAGCUCCUGAUGCCCAUCCAGUGCUUUACAUGUCACUGCGGCCAGGGGAGGCUCAGCUCCUCACAGAAGGCUUUCAACUCCCCUCUCCCCCACCCCCCCUCCCAAUGUUAGAAAAGCUACAGUGCUUGCAAGUCACAACUUCAACUUCUGUACAAUUUUAUCAUUUCCUUUAAUUGCUUCAAGCACUCUAAUUUUUAUACCAUUGUGAAAGGAUCUUUGUUUACACUGAUUGUGGAGGGCAAUAUUUCUAGCACGGGUAACCAUGGCAAUGAAUAAUUCUAUUCUCAGGAACUGUGCCAGCUGCACUAAUGCCUUAUAGUAGAACUCCAGCAGUUUACUAAUGAGAGACUUCUAGUUUGUUGCAGGAGGACAUUUUCCCUUGUCUACGCAUUAGCCUGCAGUUUCUUAAAAGCACAUUCCUUAUCAGUGAUGUUUGGGGAGCAAAAUAAAACAAAACAAGCAAAUCUCAGCUACACAGCUGUCCCUGCAAGUAAGGUUUUCUUGUCUUUUCUUUGAGACUGCAUUAUGAGAUACAUUAUUUAAGAAACCGUGCUGUGCAAUAGUCUGUUUUAAUGGCCACGUUUGAAAGCAAGGAUGCGGUUAGGAUGCUCCAGAGCGGCUGUCUGUUGCACAAAAAGAUUUUGCCCUGUAAACUGCUCUGGUCAGAUGUAUGGCAUUUAUCGCUAAGGAAAGUGUUUAACAAUUUUAGUAGGUUCUUUUUAUAAAUAUUCUGCUUUGAGUAAAGAAUCUUUUAAAAUCUUUUUAAUCCUUCCUUUUACUUUAUAGAAAUAGAUAUUACACCGUGGGGUUGAAUUACUGUGACACAAGAGCACUGAAAUUGAUUGAAAUAUUAUCUCUCAUCUAUGUGUAAAAUUAGUUGUUCUAUAUAUAUAAAAAAAACACCUGUAAAAUAAGUAAAAACCCAUAUAUUUUAUACAAUUCAUUAUGUAAGUGUUAUUUAAAUUAUUUGAACAAUAGUAGCUCUGACAUUGAGUAUUUUUAGCUUAGGUGUGUUGGGGAAACCCUCAGUUAACAGCUAAGCUAAAGUUCUUGUCACUGCAUGACCUGUGGUCUCAGAGUACAAAACCAAUCAGCUGGAGAAAAGCAUCUUCUCUGGUUUGCAGAACAUUAACAAUCCCGAGUGUGUUAUCCCAAAUAGGUACCCUUACAGAAGAUUUAUGCAACAACUGCUGAAUUAGUCAAAGCAGUCUAGGAUGGUUGUAGCUCGUGGUUUCUAGAAAAGCAUUUCUUAGCCUUGUGCCUUGGAUCGAACAGAAGGCUGAACACAUCUAAACAAACACCAACAAGAUUUUUCUUUCCCCACAUGUUGCAAAAUGAAUUGAUCUCUCCUCUGUGGUUAGUGACCCAGUGCCCUAAUUUGAGGCUCUGCUGUCACCAGUCUCUGUGACGGACAUCUGCCCCGAGCCAGCUGUCAUGCCUGGCCCCUUCCUGGGGCUCCUCUCAUCACCCUCCUGUGCUCUGCUCUCAGAACAGCUGCCUGCCCACGUCCCUAAAGACAAAGCAGGAUCCAGCAAAUACAGCUUCCCAGAAAAUUCAGCUUGGGUUGCUUUAAACAGGAAAAAUGACCCCCAAAUGGCAGUUCUGCUCAGACUGGGACAGCUUGGUCUUUCUGCGGCUCUGUAACACCCCCACCUUUCCAGCGCAUAAAAAUCUAGGUCAGUCCUGAAAUGAAAACAGCAAUGAAAAGCUGUAAUGUUUUUCCACAGAGCUGUUGGAACUCAGUGGUUGGUGCUUCCCAAUUUUCUUUUCCCAGGUGAGCGCAUUGCUUCUGUUUAACUCAGGCCAACGAUUCCUCUGCCUCCUGAAGCAAGAAUGAUAGAAUCAUAGAAUUGUUUGAAUUGGAAGGGACUCUUAAUGGCCAUCUGGUCCAACUCCUCUGCAAUGAAUAGACAUACCUACAACUAGCCUACCUACAACUCUGACCAUGUUGCUCAGAGCCCCCUCCAGCCUGACUUUAAAUGUCUCCAGGGACGGGAUAUCCACCACCUCUCUGGGCAACCUGUGCCAGUGCCUCACCACCCUUAUUGUAAAAAACUUCUUCCCUAUAUCCAGGCUAAAUCUCCCCUCUUUUACUUUGAAACCAUUUUCCUUUGCCCUACCAAGGAGACGCAGAUUUUCUGAAAAUAUGCCCUUUGGUAUCCCUUCCCACCUCAACCACCCCGUGAUCCUGUGGUGACUGAAGGGCUGGCUCAGAUAGCUGUCCUGACUUGGUGACCUUCUCUUUUUAGUUGGCUUUCUUUUUUCUUUUUUUUCCUUCCUUUUUUAUGAAAAACGUACAUAGGUAGAUAGAGAAAACGUGGAAGAGACAGAGGAAAAAGAAGAAAGAGAGAAGGAGAGAAAGAGUCGCUUCAGCAGCUCUUAGGGGUGGCAGGAGCCCAAACCCAGGCUCUUUACUGUAGUGUAAAUCCAGGCCAAUGCUCUUCAGAAACUCUCUCCCUUCGAGGCAUAGGGAUGGAAUGCCCAAAAAGAUUCCAGUGAGGGGACCGACACCACAGAGGGUUAAAGCAUUGCCAUUUCCCAGGCAGUCCCCAGUUUAUCCUUUUCUGAGGGCUGUGGUGCUGCUCAUUAUAAGCAAUUAAUCUCCAGCGCUGCUCUCUGCUGUCAGCUCGUGCCGCCGUCACGCGCCAGCUGAGCCGUGAGGAAGCGGCUGCCUGUCCCACGCUGCCUGGUGCCUCCUCCUACAACUCGUUUUGCUCUUGUUCCCCGCAGGUGCUUUGGGUAAGUGUGUGUGUUGACACAACAUGUUAAUGGUGGUCAGAUCCUAAGUGUGAAUCCCACAUGUGAGGUAGAAUCUGGGCAGUUUCAGCUGCUGCUGAAAAUUGGGUUUGAAUUAGAUACAGUCAUAGGAGCAACGUGAGCCCCCCAGUACUUGGGAGCUCUGCACCAGCUCUGCAAGGGAGGGCUAAAGAGAAAUCAGCGUGUUGUCUGGGAAGAUUUCUUGUAUAGCUCUUUUCAAUUAUACUGAAGUCAAUUGUACGUUGUUCUACAUUGCCAUACUUCUCCAUGUAACCCUCUUUCUGGAUGAGUGCUGCUGUCACCAACAUUUGGUAUCACUAAGACUGCAGGACAAGGCAUUACUCAGCCAGCUGAGGGGAUUUCAAUACCCUUCAGCCGUGUACAUCAUUGUAGAGCCUUUCUGUAACCUGCUUUCCCUUUUCAGCUAUGGCUGAUGGAAGGAGCUGGAGUUGAGGAUUUCGUUUUACCAGCUAGCAUCUGAAGCACUCUAUUCAAGCAGUUCCCAGCGGGCAUGAAUCAAAGCAGUUACCAGCAGCCAGCCAAGGCAGCAGAACUUGAUCUCAGUUCUCCUCAACACUAUGAGACCCUGAAACUACCAUGUGGGAGAAGGCCAACUGCACACACCCUGAAUCAGAAAGGCUGCUGAUACGAUCAUGUAGAAAUGCGUAUUUCCUUUGAACUUCACACCACCUGCCUCACCAGAGCACACUGACACAGCUCUGGUUUGUCCUACAUCCAUGUGCCUAUGUGUGCACCCAUCUUUUAGGUUAUUGCUGGCAGCACCUGCUGAUGCUCAGAGCUGUUCUGCUCCUGCUGCUGCCUCUGUUUGGAGGAAGAAACAGAUGAAAGCCUCCUCAUCUCUCACAGGCCAAGAGGAGGGGAAAAUCCCAACCCAACAAGGUAACACUGGUUGGACUUGUAGCUGGUGUGUCUGCCACUUAAAGCACUGGAAGUGUCACUGACCAAACACACCUGCAGAGCACAGUGUCUGGAGCCCCACGGGAGGAGUGAUGGGAAUGGUUUUGGCAGUGUUUCCUUCCUUCUCAAAGCCAGGCAAGUCAGGAGCUGAACACCAGGAGCUGACUGUUGGCAGCUGGCACAGCAGGAGGGACAGACAGCAGAUGCAGACGGACAGACUUCAGUCUGCAAGCUGCUGCCUCCCAGCCUCGCAAAGCUGGUUGGCUUGCUGGUGCGUGCUCUGAUGUGCUGCUGCUUCUUUCUCCUGCUGCUGCUCUCAUCCUGCGCCGAUACGGUGCCGUCAUGCUGCAGCUCCAAGGGAUGUAUGCAUAACUCCCUUGGGAAGUUUAUAACAGUACGUUCAAUAGGGGAAAUGAACUCUGAAUGUGGAAAUAAAGUCUUCCAAGUUGAAUCUUUCCUCAUUUUCUUUUCUUUUUUUUUAAUUUUUGUAAAUGAAUGCCGUUGCCGUUUUCUCCCAGCUGUUGUUGAGGCAUGACCUGGAAUGACUCAUGGUGUUCUUAGAUGUCCCUGCAGACCAGUGGGACCACGGCUGGGAGUGGAUGGAACAGUUUGCCCCCACCCUGCUGCAGCUGUCUGCUGUGCAGUGACAGGAGGUGGAGCAUGGAAGGGGAAGACACUGGGGUUGCAGAAAUACAACUAUUUUACCUCUCUUUUGCUGGUAAGUCACCCAGUAGGGAGAGCCUCCUCAAAUCAAUAGAGUUAUCAAAUCAAAGGUCAUGCAGAGCAACAGCAUACCCUCAACACCACCCCUCCUUGGCACAGGCUUUACCCAGUCUCCAUACUGUAACAGGUCCUUCUCUCAACUCAUUCUCAUUCCAUCUAUUUCCCAGACCACCUUGUUGGCUGCUUUUUGUUGUUAUCUAUGUAGGCAUCUGAACAGCACUGCACUUAUCUGAGAUUUCUCUUCUGCACAUCAGGUUGGGGUCUCUUUGCUUUGGGGCUUUUGGGCUUUGGGGCACAGGCUUCCCUGUCUGAACUUGAGGGCUGCAGAAAUGACUGAAAAACAAAAAAACAAAAAACAAACAAACAAAAAACAGUGGGGAAAUAACAGUACCUUGGCCAUUAGUCGUCGAUUUCCACUACAAAGGAGCACCAGAGAUUAUCCCAGUGUAUCAGCGAUGUAACCCAGCCCUUUGGCCAUGGGCAGGAUCUGGCCCGCUGACUCUUGGCACAGGAAGUGGAAGGAAGCCAUGGAAGAGGGAUGCAUGCAUUGACUUGAUGUUUUCAGACAUAAUUCUCAGUUAAGCUGCAUGAAUAGAGAUCUUACACUGAAAUGUAUGAUUUCCUCCACAUUUUCUUCUUUUGUGCCUCCUGCAUGUGAGCUUUUGUUAGUCAAUUGCUACACAGCAUUUUUCAGCGUGUCUUUUGUUCAGUGGUCCUUUCAGCUGUCACACUCUGAUCACAUUCCCCCUAGAUGUAUAGAGCACUUUUUGUUUGCUUUGGGAGUAUUUUAAAGAAUGUUUCACUUAAUAUUCAGCCUUCCUCACCGUUGUCAACAAGAUCAACAUUCUGUUGAAUUUCACUUGGAGUAACCUCAGUGCUGCAUCAGUGGGGCCACGUCUUGCUUCAUCCACAGCUGCAAUCAGCCACAGGACUGUCUGUGCCAUCCCUGGGUAGAAGGGAAGACAAUAAAGACCUAAAUACUGACCAUAACGGGAGUUGUCCUCUUUUUCUUCCUCUUCUCAGCCACUGACCCUUUUUUCCCCCAUAUCUCUUUCCUGGUAAAUGUGUAGAGCUCCAUCUAAGGGUGUCCUGUUGAGGGAAAAAGAGAAUUGCCUUUGCUUUCUCUCCUUGUUUAUGUUGCCUGGUGCAUGACUGAAAGGCUUUUCCCUCUUUAUCCAGUAAUAUUCUCU
ensembl:lncRNA